GGAAUUUCAAAAAUAUCAGGGAUGGCUCCUUAAAAGUCAUGGCAGCGUGCUAUCUCAAGAGCAGCAUUGAAACAGUUUAUCAGAAGACUCCCUUUCACGGAGUGCAUCAGAUUCCAGCGUCUGCAAUCCCAACCUUCAUUAUAAGACUCCUGGUACACCUCAGCAGUCACAUGGGUCUUCCAACAGUCCUGAGAGUGGUCUAGGAACAAGUCACCCAAGCAUUACUGAUGGUGAUGCGGAUAGUUUUCCUGAUCCUGAAUUUGAAAAUGAAUAUGAAAAUAAUGAUGAAUUUGAUGCUAUUUUAGGAACAGGCAGGGCUUUGUAUCCAUUUACUGGUAAAAAUAAAUAUUUUUAUUUUCAGUAAUCUCUCUUGGAUUUGA